UACGUAGGGUGCAAGCGUUGUCCGGAAUUAUUGGGCGUAAAGAGCUCGUAGGCGGUUUGUCGCGUCUGCUGUGAAAACUCGGGGCUUAACCCCGGGCCUGCAGUGGGUACGGGCAGACUAGAGUGCGGUAGGGGAGACUGGAAUUCCUGGUGUAGCGGUGAAAUGCGCAGAUAUCAGGAGGAACACCGGUGGCGAAGGCGGAUCUCUGGGCCUUACCUGACGCUGAGGCGCGAAAGCUAGGGGAGCGAACAGG
rnacentral:rRNA from 1 species